CAGGGAGUGCUGGUCCAGCAGCAGAGGCAGCUUCAUCCUGGGGCCUACAGAGUGUGCUGACCCUCUUGCCUAACAAGUCCACAAGCAGUGCUUUGGAUACAUCGGAGGACAAAACAGACAGAGAUGCUUGCCUUUUUUGGCUUGUAUUCUUGUUGAGAGAAAAGAGACAAUAAAUGGUAGACCUAAUUUAAUCCUAAAUUAUGGGGUGCUAUGGCUUGGAUGUUUGUCCCUUCCAAACCUCAUGUUGAAAUUUGAUCCCAAAGUUGAAGGUGGAGCCAAAUGUGAGGUGUUUGGGUCAUGAGGGCAGGUCCUUCAAGAAGAGGUCAAUGUUCUCCCUCCCAGAUGAGUGAGUUCUUACUCUCUUCGUUUACACAAGAGCUGGUUGUUGAAGAGCCUGGCACCUCCCCUUCUCUCUUGCUUCCUUUCUCACCAAGAGAUCUCUGCAAAGGCUGGCUCCCCUUUGCCUUCUGCCAUGAGUGGAAGCAGCCAAAGCCCCUCACCAGAUGCAGACGUGCAAUUUCAAACUUUCCAGCCUUCAGAAUUGUGAGCUAAAUAAACUUCUUCUCUUUAUAAAUUGCCCAGUCUCAGGUGUUCUGUUAUAGCAACACAAACUAAGACACAUGGUAUGUUGGCAGGUGACAAGCACUGGGGAAAAAGUAAUGAAGAGGAAUAGGGCAGGGGAGCCUGGCAGUGCUGGGAUGAUGGACUUGGGUGAUAGGAGACAGA
rnacentral:lncRNA from 10 species